AUUAAAAUAUAUUCUAUAUUGUUUUGUGUCACUUCAUUAUGUAACUGGAGUUAAUUUCAGUAUUUGUCUUGAAAUGGAGAGAAAAGGACCUAGAAUAUCCCAGUAUCCGGUUGGACCAGAGCGACAGAUUUUUGACAAUGUUGCGAGAAGGUUACCUGAAUAUGAAAUUUUUACAUUUAAUGGACAUUUGCGCGUAAAUAAAAAUAUACAAGAGUAUAAUAGAGUUCAUGAAUACGAAAAAGUACAUGAAUUAUACGAAAAACAUCGUUCCUACGACAACUUUCAUGAACACGUGUAUAAAGAAUUUAAACCAAAUUAUAUAACAAGAGAGCAGCACGAAGAAGUGAAAUCCUUAAAACAUACACGAAGAAACACAAAUGUAGAACUAAUUCCUAUUGGUGGACCAGAGAGUUCUAUUCAUGAAUAUGAUUAUAAAGAAUAUAAAUCUGUACCGUAUGACUUAAGUCGUGUUCAUGAUACUUUCAGUUCUAAAAGUGACAGUUACAUGGACAAGAAGUUACAUGAGUAUCAAAUUAAAUCAUAUUUGCUCAAUGAAGAUAAUUUUUAUCCACUUAAAAAAAUAAACAAUUUUGGAGUUAUGGAAAAAGAAGAUUCACUUGAGGAAAGUGAUAUGUCAUUUCUUAAAAGAUGUAAACUGUCUUCUAUGUUGCCAAUAAUUCAACCAAAAUGGAGACCACAAGAAAAGGAAUCUCCACCACCAGAUUACUCAUCACUCAGUAAUGCAAGACCUCGUCAGUCUAUCCGGAAGAAAAAUCUAUCAGUAUCUUUCGAUGCUGAGGAUGAUGAUUUCAAAUGGUAAACAUAAAUGAACACCAACAAUCAUAUCUUAUAUCUGCUAUAUUUUGGUAAUAUGUACAUUCAAAUUUGAAAAUAAAGAAGCGAAAUGUA